UCAAGCCUGUAGCCUGUCUUCUAGGUUAAAUCCGGGAGGCGCAUAUGGUGAGGGGUGAUGGUGAGGCCCUUUUGGGUCGAUAACAGGGUUGGUCUGUACUGUCGAGAAAAGCUGCGUUGUGAGGUGUUGUUCCGCCCGUACCCUAAACCGACUCUGGUAGUUGGGUAGAGAAUACUAAGGCGAGCGAGUGAAUCGUGGUUAAGGAAUUCGGCAAAUUGCCUCCGUAACUUCGGGAGAAGGAGGCCCCACCCUUUGAAACUGCUUUUCGUGGUUAGGGGGUGUGGGGUGCAAUAGCAAGAUGGAAGCGACUGUUUAUCAAAAACAUAGGUGCGUGCGAAGCCGUAAGGCGAGGUAUACGCACUGACGCCUGCCCGGUGCCGGAAGGUUAAGAGGAGCUGUUAGCUUUGGCGAAGCGGUGAAUUUAAGCCCCGGUAAACGGCGGUGGUAACUAUAACCAUCCUAAGGUAGCGAAAUUCCUUGUCGGGUAAGUUCCGACCUGCACGAAUGGCGUAACGACUUCUGUGCUGUCUUGACCGCGAACUCGGCGAAAUUGCAUUACGAGUAAAGAUGCUCGUUACGCGCAGCAGGACGGAAAGACCCCGGGACCUUUACUAUAGCUUGGUAUUGGUGGCUGGUUGUGUUUGUGUAGGAUAGGUGGGAGACGUUGAAGCAGGAACGCUAGUUUUUGUGGAGUCGGCAAGUGAAAUACCACUCUGAUGUUGCUGGUUAUCUGAACCUGGGCCCAUUAUCUGGGUUAGGGACAGUGCCUGGUGGGUAGUUUAACUGGGGCGGUUGCCUCCUAAAUGGUAACGGAGGCGCUCAAAGGUUUCCUCAUCCUGGUUGGUAAUCAGGGUUCGAGUGUAAGUGCACAAGGAAGCUUGACUGUGACACUGACGGGUGGAGCAGGUACGAAAGUAGGAACUAGUGAUCCGGCAAUGGCUUAUGGAAGCGUUGUCGCUCAACGGAUAAAAGGUACCCCGGGGAUAACAGGCUGAUCUUGCCCAAGAGUCCAUAUCGACGGCAUGGUUUGGCACCUCGAUGUCGGCUCGUCGCAUCCUGGGGCUGGAGUUGGUCCCAAGGGUUGGGCUGUUCGCCCAUUAAAGCGGUACGCGAGCUGGGUUCAGAACGUCGUGAGACAGUUCGGUCCCUAUCCGCUGCGCGCGUUAAGACUUGAAAAAGUCCUGUCCCUAGUACGAGAGGACCGGGAUGGACGAACCUCUGGUGUGCCAGUUGUACCGCCAGGUGCAUGGCUGGUUGGCUAUGUUCGGAAAGGAUAACCGCUGAAAGCAUCUAAGCGGGAAGCC
rnacentral:rRNA from 1 species